ACGAACGCUGGCGGCGUGCCUAAUACAUGCAAGUCGAGCGGAAUGAUGAAGAAGCUCGCUUCUUCUGAUUUUAGCGGCGGACGGGUGAGUAACACGUGGGCAACCUACCUUGUAGAUUGGGAUAACUCCGGGAAACCGGGGCGUAAUACCGAAUAAUCCAUUUUGCUUCAUGGCGAGAUGUUGAAAGACGGUUUCGGCUGUCACUAUAAGAUGGGCCCGCGGCGCAUUAGCUAGUUGGUAGGGUAAUGGCCUACCAAGGCGACGAUGCGUAGCCGACCUGAGAGGGUGAUCGGCCACACUGGGACUGAGACACGGCCCAGACUCCUACGGGAGGCAGCAGUAGGGAAUCUUCCACAAUGGACGAAAGUCUGAUGGAGCAACGCCGCGUGAGUGAAGAAGGUUUUCGGAUCGUAAAACUCUGUUGUAAGGGAAGAACACGUACGAGAGUAACUGCUCGUACCUUGACGGUACCUUAUUAGAAAGCCACGGCUAACUACGUG
rnacentral:rRNA from 1 species